GUGGGGAAUCUUGCGCAAUGGGCGAAAGCCUGACGCAGCCAUGCCGCGUGAAUGAUGAAGGUCUUAGGAUUGUAAAAUUCUUUCACCGGGGACGAUAAUGACGGUACCCGGAGAAGAAGCUCCGGCUAACUUCGUGCCAGCAGCCGCGGUAAUACGAAGGGGGCUAGCGUUGCUCGGAAUUACUGGGCGUAAAGGGCGCGUAGGCGGACAGCUUAGUCAGAGGUGAAAGCCCAGGGCUCAACCUUGGAAUUGCCUUUGAUACUGGCUGUCUUGAGUUUGGGAGAGGUGAGUGGAACUCCGAGUGUAGAGGUGAAAUUCGUAGAUAUUCGGAAGAACACCAGUGGCGAAGGCGACUCACUGGCCCAAUACUGACGCUGAGGCGCGAAAGCGUGGGGAGCAAACCGGAUUAGAUACCCCUGUAGUCC
rnacentral:rRNA from 1 species